rnacentral:rRNA from 1 species
AGGAUGAACGCUGGCGGCGUGCUUAACACAUGCAAGUCGAACGAUGAACCUCACUUGUGGGGGGAUUAGUGGCGAACGGGUGAGUAACACGUGAGUAACCUGCCCUUAACUCUGGGAUAAGCCUUGGAAACAGGGUCUAAUACUGGAUAUUGACUUUUCACCGCAUGGUGGUUAGUUGAAAGAUUUAUCGGUUUUGGAUGGACUCGCGGCCUAUCAGCUUGUUGGUGAGGUAAUGGCUCACCAAGGCGACGACGGGUAGCCGGCCUGAGAGGGUGACCGGCCACACUGGGACUGAGACACGGCCCAGACUCCUACGGGAGGCAGCAGUGGGGAAUAUUGCACAAUGGGCGAAAGCCUGAUGCAGCGACGCCGCGUGAGGGAUGACGGCCUUCGGUGUAAACCUCUUUCAGUAGGGAACAGGCCAGUGUUUAGCUGGUUGAGGGUACUUGCAGAAGAGCGCCGGCUACUACGUGCCAGCAGCCGCGGU